ACAAGGAGAGUCACGACACCAUCACUAAUGUUGUUUCUUCAUCUUCGUCAUGUCAUCUCCUUUUCCUUUAGUCCUAUUGCAAACCAAUCAAACCCACCUCUUGCUUUUCUCUUUCGGCAAGUAUUCACCAAAACUGCAUUAUUGAUAGGGCAUUGAAUGAAAUGACACCAUCACUAUUGUUAUGCGUUGAGCUUUUUCCUUUUUCUUUUACGUAUAUCGUUCUUCUUUUUUCGGUUUUCUUUUCCAAAAUGUUGACUGAUUAUAACGAAAUGGUUUCUUUCCACAUGCUGCCGCUGGAUAAGGAAUCAAAUCAAUGGCGAAAGGAAGAAUAACAUCCCUUCCUUUCCACACUCAUUGAAUAACAUUACUUGCUUCUUAUCUUUUCUAUUUUCCUUGUGAUUCUUCCUUGAUUAUACUUGCUAUGGCGCUUCUCUUCUGUUUGCUAACAUCUCUCUGCUACUUCAUCCUAUUGCUGAAUUUCUAAAUAAACACUUCUUUUCUUUUUAUACAAGGCAAAGUAAAAAAAUACAGGGUGAGUACAAAGUGUAAUGCAACAUAGUGGGUAUAAAAAAAAAAAAAUGCAAACGUGAGAGAGGAAGCAAAACACAGGAAGGAAUGCAGGCCUAAUCAGUAAUCACUCAAGGACCAAAUGAGACAAAGAAAGGAAGAUGCCACCAUAUUUGCAUAUGUUGCAGCUUAAUAGAGGAUCCAUCUGUACGUUUUAUUGAUAUGGCUGGUAAUGGUACUUAAUUUGCACAUAGUUUCACAAACUUUUAUAUUUUUUCUAUUUAAAUUAAGUGAUUGUGGACUUGUAGUUAUACAUCUUAAACAAGAGGCUUUAUUCACAAAAAUACACACCAAGAAUAAAAUAGAAAAAUACAACAAUAAAUUUAAAAAAUAAAAUAAAGAACAAGAAGACAAGAGUAGGGUGGGAAUGUAAGUGCAUGCAUAAAAUAAUUUGAAAAUUCGAUACCUUGUGGAUGUUGAAGAUUGCCAUAAUGUGUUGUAAAGGCUCCAAUUCUACACAUAUUGUCCUAUUGAUAAAAUUAAUAUUGAUGGUGAAAAAUCCAAAUAGACAGUUUAUGGAUUAACGAUUUAAACCCUCAGUCGGCUUCCUUCCAAAUUUUAAUUGAUUUGCAUUAACCAAUUUCAUUAGUAGAGGUUAUCAUAUUCCAACUUCCCAAUUUUAGAUAGAUUGAGAUUCGAUCAAAGGAAAGUCAAAACUUAAUUUGAUCAAUCAAAUGGCACUCAAAGAGGAGUUGAAAACUUCAUAAACUAUUUCUCUUGAGCUACUUCUUGCACAAAUGGUGUUGAGCAAACACAUUUGACUAUUAUAUAGUGUCAUUGAAUUUGCCAACUCAAAACCUAACAACGUUGGGUAUAAUUUGUGUUCUACCUUGUUAGGGUCAUAUUUUCUAUGUAAUUGGCUAAUUCUUUGACAAAAUGCACUUUACUUGUACUUAGGUAGAUCUAAGUUGGGUUUAAUAUAUCAAGAAAUAUGUUGUUCAAACGUAUCAAGUGGUAUUAUUAAAGACAUGAAGAUUGAUCCAAGAAACAAGUGAAGAAAAGCCGUUCAUUAAAACUCAACAUAAAGCUCAACAGAAAGCUGAUAUCAAGGACUAUUGAAGAAGCUCGACACAAGCAUAAUCUAUCGAGAAUUACAAUUUCAAAAAUUCCAGAUCUGAAAUUCGGCCCAUGAUGACUUGUUUGGUUAAGGUUUCUUUUCCUACAAUCCUAGUCAUAUAUAAGCUUAUUUUAAAAGCCAUCACACAUGAAAACAGAGACCAAGAGCUCAUAUUCUCUGUAAGAAGCUACUGCGUUUGUGCGCCUUAGGGUUUUGUAACCAAGUGCUUCCUGAUCUUUAUUGUUGUUGAAGUGAAGAACUUUGUAUUUAGUCACAUAUUGGAGAUUUGUGCAACAAAGGAAAGAAGUCUGCUACAAGAUCAAGUCCAAUUGGGCAUUGGAGUAAGGAUUCAACUAAAGGUUGGUAUUUUGGGAUAAGCUAGGGUAGUGGUAAGAUUCCUCAUACUUGUAAUCGCUUGGUUAUUGAUUAGUAGAUUCUUGGAAGUGGUGAACUUAAAUUCUCUUAGUAGGGUUUUUGCCUUGCGAGGGUUUUUCCCCAUUUGUCAACAAAUCACCAAGUUAAUUUUUUUUCAGCUGCAUAUUGUUAGGGUCAUAUUUUCUAUGUAAUUGGCUAAUCCUUUGAUGAAAUGCACUUGUAAUUGAGUA